GUUGGGAGCUCUCCCAUAUGGUCGACCUGCAGGCGGCCGCGAAUUCACUAGUGAUUCGUAUUACCGCGGCUGCUGGCACAGAGUUAGCCGGUGCUUCUUCUGUAGGUAAUGUCAAUCCUUAGUGCUAUUAACACUAAGGCCUUCUUCCCUACCGAAAGUGCUUUACAACCCGCAGGCCUUCUUCACACACGCGGCAUUGCUGGAUCAGGCUUUCGCCCAUUGUCCAAUAUUCCCCACUGCUGCCUCCCGUAGGAGUCUGGGCCGUGUCUCAGUCCCAGUGUGGCUGGUCAUCCUCUCAGACCAGCUACGGAUCAUCGCCUUGGUAGGCUUUUACCCUACCAACUAGCUAAUCCGACGCAGGCUCAUCUUCUGGCACAAGGCAUCACUGUCCCUUGCUUUCCCCCUUAGGGCUUAUGCGGUAUUAGCUUGAGUUUCCCCAAGUUAUCCCCCACUAGAAGGCAGAUUCCUACGCGUUACUCACCCGUCCGCCACUCGUCAGCACCUAGCAAGCUAGGCCUGUUACCGUUCGACUUGCAUGUGUUAAGCAUGCCGCUAGCGUUCAAUCUGAGCCAUGAUCAAACUCUAAUCGAAUUCCCGCG
rnacentral:rRNA from 1 species